rnacentral:lncRNA from 1 species
AGGAUAAGCGACAUCGGGGCAGGUCCUGGGUAGAGUCCAGGUUGGCGGUUCCUGGGGCAGGGCCAGGAUAGGGCGAUCCUGGAAGCUGGGCUUCGGAAGCGUCCAGGUUGGUGGCGUCCUGGAGGCGGUGCCUUGCGUGGGGGCAGGAUAAGAGUCCUGGAGGCGGGCAUUAGGGCGCGGAUAAACGCCAUUGGAUUCAGGAGGCGGGACCCAGAGCAGAGCCCAGGAGACAGGUCUUAGGGCGGGGCUAAGGCCAGGCCCAGAGAAGGGCUCAGGAGGCGGGGCAGGGGCGGGGCGUUGACUAUGUCGUAGAACAUGGCCAGGCGGUGCGCGGACUCUGGGAGGCGAAGCUUAGGACGGGCCCACUUGGGGAGGGGCCCAGUGCCCGGGAGGCGGGGCCGAGUCCGGGCUGGGCUGCGCUCAGGAGGCGGGCCCUGGGAGGCGGAGCUUAGGGAGGGGCCGGUGUUGGGAGGGACCCAGGGACUGGGAGGCCGGUUGGGGCUGGGCUCAGGGGCCGAGACCUAGCUGGGCUUGGGGCGGGGCCGAGACGGAGCGAGGGGUCCAGGGUGUGGGAAACGGGGAGGGGUUUGAGGAGGGGAUCGGAAUGUGGCUCAAGUUCGGGAGGCGUUACCUGCGGAGGGUUUGAGGCAGGCCCAGGAGCGAGCCCAUGGUCUUCCGACGCGGGGCCAGGGGCGGGGCCCAGGAUCCGGAGCUUCGUGCGGGGCCGAGUCCAGGUUUGGGGCCCGGGAGGCGGGGCCAGUUAGGGCGAGGGUCCCUGGGAUCGUCGGGUCAGGCCUUGGGCUAACGUAGGCACUCUCGCAGUUCCUCCGCCUUCAGGAAGGUCUUUUCAGCAGGGGCCUUACGGGUGCAUGCUUCGGUCCUGGAGGCCUUAUCCUAGCCUCCUCUCCAUCAGCGCCACCCGUCUGGGGCCCGAAAGGAGGGAGCUUUCCCUCUGUCCCCCAGCCUUUGGACUGUCACUAAACAAGCCAUUCGUUCAUCAAAUACUUUUUAAGCGCCUACCAUGUGCCUGACAAGGGAGAUGUAACGGUGAGAAAAACUAGGUGUGGUCCAGGCCCUUCAGGGGCUCAGGUGCUCGUGGAAGAAGUGGACAUUGAAGUACUUAUCACACAAAUGAGGAUAAAAGUACGAUAACGAUAUCUACCACGAAGCUGUUGUUCCCCACCAGAACCAAAUGAGCGCAAGAUCUGACAAAGAAAAAAAAAGGUUCAUCUUUUAUUCCUCCAAACACUUUCAUUUAAAUCAAGAGGAUGGGAUGUGGUUAUUGCUGUGUUUUUAGACAGAAUCAACGGUUUCUGGGUCUGAGAUGUUGCAUACACCUUCUCAGUCCCUGUAUCCUGAGAUGGAGUCACCUGAGAAUCCACAGCAAGUCCUAACCAGGGAUGGGUCUGGGUGAUUAAGGAAGGUUGGCUUCAGAACUGGGCCAGGGGCACUGCUUUGCUUUUGCUGUUUUGAUCAGCUCUCUGCCUGAAGGAGACAAGAAAAACCAACGGGAACAGCCCAGUAAAGGCGCCAUUCCCCAUUUUACAGCUGGGGAAACUGAGUUACAGAGCUUGUCUGCACUGAGUCAUCAGGAGCAAAUGCUAGAUCAGAUAGGGUCUCUCUCUCUGCCACCCAGGCCAGAGUGCAGUUGACGCAGGGCAGGGGAGCCCCGAAGUGGAGCAUAGUGUGUCCGGAACUGGUGGGUUCUUGGUCUCACUGACUUCAAGAAAGAAGCCGCGGACCCUCGCGGUGAGUGUCACAGUUCUUAAAGGCUGCGUGUCCAGAGUUUGUUCCUUCUGAUGCUCGGAUGUGUUCAGAGUUUCUUCCUUCUGGUGGUUUUGUGGUCUCGCUGGCUUCAGGAGUGAAGCUGCAGACCUUCAAGAAACUCCUGGAGGGCAGAGGCAUGCCUGCCAUCUUCAUCAUUGCAUUACCACCACCCAACACUAUCGGGGGACCUGCCCUGAUAAUCAGUCUACAGGUGUAUCCAGCAGCUCCAGAGAGACAGCGACCAGCGAGAAGGGGCCAUGAUGAUGGAGGUGGUUUUGUCAAAACGAAAAUGGGGAUAUGUAGGGAAAAGAAAGAGAGAUCAGACUGUUACUGUGUCUACAUAGAAAGGGAAGACAUAAGAGACUCCAUUUUGAAAAAGACCUGUACUUUAAACAAUUGCUUUGCUGAGAUGUUGUUAAUCUGUAGCUUUGCCCCAGCCACUUUGCCCCAACCACUUUGACCCAAUCUGGAGCUCAUAAAAACAUGUGUUGUAUGAAAUCAAGGUUUAAGGCAUGUAGGGCUGUGCAGGACGUGCCUUGUUAACCAAAUGUUUGCAAGCAGUAUACUUGGUAAAAGUCAUCACCAUUCUCUCAUCUCAAUAAACCAGGGGCACAAUGCACUGUGGAAAGCCGCAGGGACCUCUGCCCUUGAAAGCUGGGUAUUGUCCAAAGUUCCUCCCCAUGUGAUAGUCUGAAAUAUGGCCUCGUGGGAUGAGAAAGACCUGACGGUCCCCCAGCGCGACACCCAUAAAAGAUCUGUGCUGAGGUGGAUUAGUCAAAGAGGAAAGACUUGCAGUUGAGAUAGAGGAAGGCCACUGUCUCCUGACUGCCCCUGGGAACUGAAUGUCUCGGUAUAAAACACGAUUGUACAUUUGUUCAGUUCUGAGAUGGGAGAAAAACCGCCCUAUGGUGGGAGGCGAGACAUGUUUACAGCAAUGCUGCCUUGUUAUCCUUUACUCCACUGAGAUGUCUGGGUGGAGAGAAACAUAAAUCUGGCUUACAUGCACGUCCAGUCAUAGUACCUUCCCUUGAACUUCAUUAUGACAUGGAUUCUAUUGCUCACGUUUGUUGCUGACCUUCUCCUUAUUAUCACCCUGCCCUCCUACUACAUUCCUUUUUGCUGAAAUAAUGAAGAUAAUAAUCAAUAAAAACUGAGGGAAUUCAGAGACCUGUGCCAGUGCAGGUCCUUAGCAUGCUAAGCGCCGGUCCCCUGGGCCCGCUGUUGUUUCUCUAUACUUUGUCUCUGUGUCUGAUUUCUUUUCUGUCUCUCAUCCCACCCGACAAGAAAUACCCACAGGUGUGGAGGGGCAGGCCACCCCUUCAGUAUGAGAUUACAGGCAUGAAUAACCCCACCUGGCCACCUAACUCACUCUUGAGAGGCCAGAAGUGAUGCUGGAACUUUCUUCCUCUGUGGGUGAAAAAGGGAAAAUUAGGGAGAACAGAAGGCAUGAGAGAUGCAGCGAUGGAUAUGUCUAUAUGGAGCUUCUGUCUGCAUCCAGUAGAAAAUGCAUCUGUAGGCACCAGGUUUAAGAGCAAAAUCCUGGAGUCUUGUCUGUUAGCAUUCUCCUUCCCCACAAACCAGAGAAGGAAUAUAUUUGCUCCAGCACACCCGGAUGUAGGAAAUGUCACAUUCCUAUUUCUGUAACUUCACUUAAAUCUGCUCUGAGUCUCUGGAUGCCUGGCAGGUGGAGAAUUCAAUCUUGUCGUUACCAGUAUUCCUUUCCCUUCUCCAUGGGCUUAUGUAAGAAUUCUGGGCUUACACACUGUUGGAAAGCCAGGUAGGAACUACAUCCCCCGAACUCUCCAUUCUUCCAGCUGCUCAUGAUCCAUCAACCUUCUUUGGGCCACCUGCUAUAACAAGACCCUCCUCACAGCAUCAUUCCACUGACCCACAGGCUCAGCCCCAGGGACCCUCACUAGAACAGGUCUCCACUAUGCAUAGGAACUCACAAAAACCUUCUCUUCAUCUUGGCUUCUGCUGAUAUCCAGCCACUCCCCCAAUUCUCACCUUAAACACAGAUGGCAGCUCCUUCCCAUUCUUCCAAACCUGGGGGAUUGUCCAGACAAAUUCUCUGCAGACACCAAAGCUUCACCCGCCCUCUUCAGGGAGGUGAUGCAAGGGCAUCUGAGAUCUUUGGAAGCCCAAUUCUGGCCUCUCUUUGGGGUGGGCUGAGAGUGGGAAGUAGACUCUCUUUUCCAAAUGUCAUGUUUAUCUUGUUCAUCAUUAUAUUAUCUCCAAUGCCUGGCACAUAGUAGGCACUACAGACUGACACAUAGGAGGUGCUAUUAGUGUCUGUAUAAUGGGACUCUUGAGGUUGAAGCUAUCAGCAGAAACCUGCCAAGCAAAAGGAUGGAAAACCAACCACCAAAAAAAAAAAAACAAAAAGAAAACAAUCGUGGCUUUGAGCUCUAAACACACAAGGCACCAGCCCAAGUUUGGGCAAUUUUACUACAACAGCCAUUUUGCCUCCAAACAAACUGGCACUGGAAACCUCCCUCUGCCUCUUAAAGAGAACCAGUUUCCCUUUCUCUAAGUGGACAGCAUUUCUCCCCGGUGGCAGUACCCAGCCCACUGCCACCAGCAAACGACUGCAGCCAGGAGCCAAGAGCUUGAUAGUUUAAAGAAUAGAUCUUAUAGGGAAAAACAAAGUAACAUCCACAUAAAUCUGGAACUACCACCACUUUCCAGAGGCCGAAUCCCAUUUGUAAAUUCUCUUGCGUGUCAAGCACCUUGCAGUCAGCUCAACUACACACUUUUGGGAUUCGUUGCAGAGAAGAGUGAAGGUUAUCUGCAAAAUAAAGGAACCAGGGCUCAGAAUUCCCAGAGCAAUCCAUGACAGAGGAGGUGAGUUGAAAAGGGAAGGGUGAAGUCAAAGGAGAGAAGUCAAUGAGUUGGCCAACACCAAGCAAGGAUCAUGGGACCCUCUCCACGGCCCCACAUCUCAAAUGAAGUCAACAAAACCCAUCAAUGCUUGGUGUAAGUGUUGUAUGCUCCUGGAAAUGAAAGCAGGGGCCACAUUUCAGGUCAGUAGGGUCAGGGGUAGAGGCAGCUGUCAUGGACUUGUGGGCCCUGGAGGAUGGGAUGAUUCUGAGACAUUGAAUCCCUACACUGAUCUCAGUAGAAAUCUCAGGUAGGGCUUCAACAUUCGUCGACAAAGGACUCUGUGGGCAUCAGAGCAACAGCCUUGGUGCAUGUCCAAGCUCCAUCAAUCCCAACUGGGGCUUUGAAGAAGUUACUUAUUUUUUUUAACUAACGUUAUUUUAAUUGACAAAUCAUAAUUGUACCCAUGUAUGUGAUGUUUUGAUAUAUGUAUACAAUGUGGGAUGAUUAGAUCAAACUAAUGAACACGUCCAUCCCCUAAUUUACUGACAAUUUUCAUGAUGCGACAUUUGAAAUGUACCCACUUAGUUAUUUUGAAAGAUACAUUAUUAUUGACUAUAGUCACGCUGCUGUGCUAUAGAUUUCAAAACAUAUAAUCCAGCAACCCAACUUCUGGAUAUAGACCAAAAAAAAAUCAAAAUCAAUAUGUCGAAGGGAUCCCUAAAUUCCUAUGUUCACUGCAGCUCUAUUCACAAUACCCAAGAUAUAGAAUCAACCUAAGUGUCCAUGAGUGGAUGAAAGGAUAAAGCAAAUGUACUAUAUACACACAAAGGAAUACUAUUAACCCUUAAAAAAGAAAGAAAUCCUGUCAUUUUCAACAACAUAGAUGAACUUGAAAGACAUUGUGUUAAGUGAAAUAAGCCAGGCACAGAAAGACAGAUACUGCAUGAUUUUAUUGUAUGUGGAAUCUAAAGAAGUUGAACUCACAGAAAUAGAGAGUAGGACAGUGGUUAUCAGGGGCUGGGGUGAAGGAAAGGGAGGGGAUAGGAGACACUGGUCAAAGGGUACAAAGUUUCCAAUAGGAAGAAUAGUUUUAAACAAGCUAAUCUCCUCUGAAAGCUCAGUUCCUCAUCUGUAGAGCACGGAUACAUCAUUAACCUUCUAAGGAUGUUGCUGUGAGAGUAAGAGAUGAUGUUCAGCACAAUACCUAACGCACAGUCAGGUCUCCUUAAGCUUGAACCUGCAUCGCCAUGACCUCUACAUCUCAGGACAGAAAGGCUCACAGCCAGUGUCUCAGUUCCCAAUGAAAAGUGGAUCCCAGACCAGGCUGGACAGCAGGAUCCCUAGGGGAUACCCCACCCUACUGAGUCAGAAUCACCAGAGGUAGAACCUGGGUAUGUAUGUAUGUGUGUGUGUGUGUGUGUGUGUGUGUGUGUGUGUAUGUACAAGAGACAGGGUCCUGCUCUGCAGUCCAGGCUGGAGUGCACUGUCACAAUCGUAGUUCACUGCAGCUUCAAAUUACCCCUGGUCUCAAUCCAUCCUCCCGUCUCAGCCUUCAGAGUAGCUGAGACUACAGGCGCAUGCCACCAAGCCCGGAUACUUUUUUUUUUUUUCUUCCUUUUGGAGAGAGUCUCACUCUGUUGCCCAGGCUGGAGUGCAAUGGUGCAAUCUUGGCUCACUGCAACCUCUGUCUCCCGGGUUCAAGUGAUUCUCAUGCCUCAGCCUCCUGAGUAGCUAGGAUUACAGGCAUAC